UGAAGCAUGUAUUUAUUUCGUUACUUAUUUCAAAACCAUAUUUAUUAAUUUGAACCACUCCAACAGUAACAGUGCUUAGCGCCGCUUAAAACUCCACAUUUUCUCCCUCUGUACCUGGGUAGUGCCUGCCUGCCUCCCUGCCUGCCUGCAGCACCGAAGGUCUCCGCCAGAGACGUCUGUCUUACCCAGGCGGAAGAAAAAGUAGUUCCAACCAACCGCGCAUCAUUUAGACAAGAUUUUAAUAGUUUAGUUAUUUUACACUGUGUUCCUGUUAAUGAUAUACAUCACCUGAAAUGACUGAAGUAUCAAAAGUAUCGAUAUUUUGAUUUGAGAAGAGCAAAUUUAGAGCAUAAAGAUCUAGUAUCGAAGGUAUCGAUAUUUCAGUAUCGAUCCACACAUCACUACCAUUUACAACGGGCAGCGCGAGGAGGCAGUUGAACCGUUGCAAACCAAGCUCAGCGGGAAGUUGGCCUGUGAAAAAUAGAUGGACGGUUAAAGCUACUGCCCCAUUCUCUAAAAAAAAUGACUGCUGAAAAUAUACGAGAGGAGUGUUUUAUAUCCCAUUUGGAAAAUUACUUUUUUAAAGUCAGGUUUCCUAAGGAGAGGUACGUAUAUCUGUCCCUUGUUUAGCUAGCAACUGUCGCCUAGCUGAAGAAGCUAACUAGCUCUCAGUGUUUUAGACUGGCCGUUAAACGAAUCUGGGGAGGAUGCUAACGUUAGCGACAUUACAUUAAAUUACACUUCCGUUUUAACAGAAUAUUUAUUUAUGUUGUUUACAACGCAAGGAUAGCCCUCCAAAAAGGUUCUUUCUGAAGGAAGAUGUCGAAGAUGGAGAAAAAUCAACUGACGGCAGAGAACAGCACGGCUCAAAAAGAUGGCGAAAGCAAUCAGGGCAGCAGAGGAAGGUGAGAAAGGGGAAAGAUGAUUGCAAAUCUUGGAUGAAAUGACACACUACAAAGCAUCUUCUCUGACAGUCAUUGGGGAUGGAGGAGUUGUUCCCAGAAGACUCUAGAUGAACAAUACUUAACGACAUCAGGACGAUGGGUGGGGUGGAGUGGAUGCAGUGUCAAAUCAGCCAUGUCCUUCCUGAUGGACUUUGUACCAGUACGCUCCCUGAACAAGCAUCUCAGCUUUAACUGAGAAUCUUGAUUGGUCAGAGGGCCCAGCAGCCGCCUUGGACACCCAAGCUUAGCUGCCAAGCAGAAAAAAAUGUAAUCCACAGAGAAUCAGUGUGCAGCCUGAUGGAGCCUGGUGGAACCGCUGCAAACAUGGUACAGCCCUGCUUCAGCCAGUUAUCCACUGACUGCAGAAGACAUGCCUCAAGACAGCCUGAACUACAGACCAGCCAGUAAUCACAGAGAAACUUUGUUGUGGGGAACUUGUGACAUUCACAUAUUGUCAGUAUCUGAUGCCGAGUCCCCUCUAGAUGACUCUGACCUUGAUGAAACUUACAACCCUACAAAAGACAAGUAGGAAGAGACAGAAAGCUCUAGUAACAGCAGAGAAAGUGGGCAAGAGGUUCAAGUAUCUGAAGAUAUUAUGGAGGAAGAAGCACACAAUAGACCUAAGAGGAAGAAAGGUGUCAACUACAGAAAACAAAAUGUGGAAAACAGAUGGCUGGGAAGAGUACAAGGGGAAAAAAAGUGGACUUUUUUGUUUUUUUGACUGUUGGUCAGAACAAAACAGCAAUUUAAAUAUGUUAACUUAAACUCCAGGGAAUAAUGAUGGACAUUAUUCAUUAUUUUCCAAUGUGAUUAUUGCUCCUGAUUUAAAUGUCACUGCACCUCCCUGCAGCCAGUGGUAUUACUACAACACCCCCUUGGGUUUGUAGUUUUUCUGUAAUAUCAGAGCAGCAUCACAUUGAAACAUAUUUACUGUAUUUUCUUUAUUUUGUACUAGAUUAGGCUAUCAGUUAAUACAGCAUAACAGCAGUGGUGGAAGAAGUAUUCAGAUCAUUUAAUUAAGUAGAAGUAGCAGUGCUUUAUCCUAAAUAUAUUCCAUUACAAACUAGAAAGCACUCAGAGAGCGCAGACCUCCGCCAAGGAAGUUCAUUUCCCCAUAUGACAUCUUAGGAUCUGGAAUAUUGCCAAGAUCCGGAUCAAACAUAGAGAUGUUGGAGAACCUAUUGUGAGCUUUUCCUAUAUUUUCGGUCAAACAUCCUGGGCAUUCUCUGUGGAGUUACAUGUAACAAUGUUAAAAAAAUGUCAGUAUCUUGCUAUGAUAAAGAAUUCUUAGCCCUUUAUUGGUCACUCAUUGAAAUAAUUGGAAAUUCAAAAUUUCAACCCUAGAGUGUCAUUGCACAAGACUUUUUUACUUUUGUGACAUUUUUAAAAAUAUUAAAUUUUCAUGUAGAAAAUUAAGAUCAAUGAAGUUACCAUAUAUGGUUCCUUGCCCAUCAAGGGUAAAACAUUUUCUAAAAAAAUGUAUACAUGCAAAAAAUAGAAAAACUCAUAUAAAGUUAAAGGGACAUUUAUUUAUAACAUGUUUAACAUGUUUCAUCCAACAUAAAUAACAUAUAUAUAGAAGGCCCCAUGUCA